rnacentral:rRNA from 1 species
GUCAGAGCCAUAGUUCCCUUCAGUUCUCGCCUGGUUUCCCAAUGAAGCUAAGCAGGGUUGAGCCUGGCUAGUAUCAGGAUGGGAGAUUCCCUGAAGAAAACUAAGGUUGCUGCUGAAU